GAUCCUGGCUCAGGAUGAACGCUGGCGGCGUGCUUAACACAUGCAAGUCGAACGAUUGAAGCUGGAGCUUGCUCCGGCCGAUUUAGUGGCGGACGGGUGAGUAACGCGUGGGUAACCUGCCUCAUACAGGGGGAGUAGCAGUUGGAAACGAACUGGUAAAACCGACAUAAGCGCACGGUAUCGCAUGAUACAGUGUGAAAACAACUCCGGUGGGUAUGAGAUGGACCCGCCGUCUGAUUAG
rnacentral:rRNA from 1 species